rnacentral:lncRNA from 1 species
AAAGAUAGAAGGUCCCAGAAUGGAAAAAGAUACAAAUGAAGAUUGGGCCUUUUUUAUGUUUUAUCAUUUAGCCCGUUAGCCUAACCCUAGAAAACUAGGAUAAAUAGAGGGCUAGAGGCUCAACCUUAGGGUGCCAGAUUGAGAGGAAAACACCAUAGAGUGAAUUGUAACCCAAUUGGGAGAAUGGAAGGUGAUAGAAGUAUGCGUGGCUAAUUCUACC